rnacentral:rRNA from 1 species
GACGAACGCUGGCGGCGUGCCUAAUACAUGCAAGUCGAGCGAAGCGGCGGUUGGGUGAGUAACGCGUGGGUAACCUGCCUUACAGUCUGGGAUAGUAUUUGGAAACAGAUGCUACUACCGGAUACUUAAGGAGGGACUUGCGAUGCAUUAGCCAGUUGGUAAGGUAACGGCUUACCAAGGCGAUGAUGCAUAGCGGAGUUGAGAGGAUGAUCGGCCACAUUGGGACUGAGACACGGCCCAGACUCCUACGGGAGGCAGCAGUAGGGAAUAUUCCACAAUGGACGAAAGUCUGAUGGAGCAACGCCGCGUGAGUGAAGAAGGUUUUCGGAUCGUAAAGCUCUGUUGUUGGUGAAGCGGUAAUCAACCAGAAAGUCACGGCUAACUACGUGCCAGCAGCCGCGGUAAUUC